AGGAGAGUUUGAUCCUGGCUCAGGAUGAACGCUAGCGGCAGGCUUAACACAUGCAAGUCGAGGGGCAGCGGGUGUAGCAAUACAUGCCGGCGACCGGCGCAAGGGUGCGUAACGCGUGAGCAAUCUGCCCGUAUCAGGGGGAUAAGCGAUGGAAACGUCGUCUAAUACCGCAUAACACCAAUGAUGGCAUCAUCGAUGGUUGAAAGCUUCGGUGGAUACGGAUGAGCUCGCGAGACAUUAGUUAGUUGGCGGGGUAACGGCCCACCAAGACCGCGAUGUCUAGGGGAACUGAGAGGUUGGUCCCCCACACUGGAACUGAGACACGGUCCAGACUCCUACGGGAGGCAGCAGUGAGGAAUAUUGGACAAUGGCCGGAAGGCUGAUCCAGCCAUGCCGCGUGAAGGAAUAAGGUCCUAUGGAUUGUAAACUUCUUUUGUACGAGAGCAAUAAGUGUCACGAGUGACACGAUGAGAGUAUCGUACGAAUAAGCAUCGGCUAACUCCGUGCCAGCAGCCGCGGUAAUACGGAGGAUGCGAGCGUUAUCCGGAUUUAUUGGGUUUAAAGGGUGCGUAGGCGGGAUUUUAAGUCAGCGGUGAAACGCAAGGGCUCAACCCUUGACCUGCCGUUGAAACUGGAGUUCUUGAAUGCGGAUGCUGUGGGAGGAAUGUGUGGUGUAGCGGUGAAAUGCAUAGAUAUCACACAGAACACCGAUUGCGAAGGCAUCUCACAAAUCCGUGAUUGACGCUGAGGCACGAAAGUGUGGGGAUCAAACAGGAUUAGAUACCCUGGUAGUCCCCU
rnacentral:rRNA from 1 species